UAACGCGUGGGUAACCUGCCUUGUACAGGGGGAUAACAGUUGGAAACGGCUGCUAAUACCGCAUAAGCGCACAGCAUCGCAUGAUGCAGUGUGAAAAACUCCGGUGGUAUAAGAUGGACCCGCGUUGGAUUAGCUAGUUGGUGAGGUAACGGCCCACCAAGGCGACGAUCCAUAGCCGACCUGAGAGGGUGACCGGCCACAUUGGGACUGAGACACGGCCCAAACUCCUACGGGAGGCAGCAGUGGGGAAUAUUGCACAAUGGGGGAAACCCUGAUGCAGCGACGCCGCGUGGAGGAAGAAGGUCUUCGGAUUGUAAACUCCUGUUGUUGAGGAAGAUAAUGACGGUACUCAACAAGGAAGUGACGGCUAACUACGUGCCGGCAGCCGCGGUAAAACGUAGGUCACAAGCGUUGUCCGGAAUUACUGGGUGUAAAGGGAGCGCAGGCGGGAAGACAAGUUGGAAGUGAAAUCUAUGGGCUCAACCCAUAAACUGCUUUCAAAACUGUUUCUCUUGAGUAGUGCAGAGGUAGGCGGAAUUCCCGGUGUAGCGGUGGAAUGCGUAGAUAUCGGGAGGAACACCAGUGGCGAAGGCGGCCUACUGGGCACCAACUGACGCUGAGGCUCGAAAGUGUGGGUAGCAAACAGGAUUAGAUACCCUGGUAGUCCACACCGUAAACGAUGAUUACUAGGUGU
rnacentral:rRNA from 1 species